ACGCUCGACACCUACGGGAGGAGCAGUGGGGAAUAUUGCACAAUGGGGGAAACCCUGAUGCAGCGACGCCGCGUGGAGGAAGAAGGUCUUCGGAUUGUAAACUCCUGUUGUUGGGGAAAAAGAGGAUGGUACCCAACAAGGAAGUGACGGCUAACUACGUGCCAGCAGCCGCGGUAAUCUGAGGCGGGCUGGCAAGGC
rnacentral:rRNA from 1 species